rnacentral:rRNA from 1 species
UACGUAGGGGGCGAGCGUUGUCCGGAAUCAUUGGGCGUAAAGAGCGUGUAGGCGGCUUGGCACGUCUGACGUGAAAGCCCGCGGCUCAACCGCGGAUUGUCGUUGGAAACUGCCUCGCUAGAGUCCGGAAGAGGAGAGCGGAAUUCCUGGUGUAGCGGUGGAAUGCGCAGAUAUCAGGAAGAACACCCGGGGCGAAGGCGGCUCUCUGGGACGGUACUGACGCUGAGACGCGAAAGCGUGGGGAGCGAACAGG